CAGCCGCCACGGUAAUACGAAGGGGGCUAGCGUUGCUCGGAAUUACUGGGCGUAAAGGGCGCGUAGGCGGACAGUUAAGUCGGGGGUGAAAGCCCGGGGCUCAACCUCGGAAUUGCCUUCGAUACUGGCUGUCUUGAGUGUGAGAGAGGUGUGUGGAACUCCGAGUGUAGAGGUGAAAUUCGUAGAUAUUCGGAAGAACACCAGUGGCGAAGGCGACACACUGGCUCACUACUGACGCUGAGGCGCGAAAGCGUGGGGAGCAAACAGGAUUAGAUACCCCAGUAGUCCCUGUCUCUUAUAC
rnacentral:rRNA from 1 species